UGCAUCGUUCGAUAAACCAAAUUCUACGCAAUUGGUCUGUAAUAAACUAACCCAACACUCAGUUUUUAGGUGAGAAGAAUCCACUUUAUCACAUUCAUAACAUGUAUAUUACUCAUCCAGAGGCGUAGAACUUUGCAACCCGCAACUCUUUGAUGUCAUCGGGGCUGUGUGCACAUCAAGGUAGAUAUAAAAUGACGUUUUUGGAUUGUUUGGUUAUUCUUUGCUCAAUUAUUCAUGGUAAACUAUCAAGGACGCAAGAAACAAAGAAACUUUUCAGUAGUUGUAAGUUUCUUAGGACAAAUGAGAAGUUACACUGGCAUGAAAUUUUAGAAAGAAAGGAUUUCAAAUGAAUCAGGAACGUAAAUAUAAAAGCAUUUAACUACAAAACUAAAAAGGUUCCUACCAAGUUGAAAGUUUCUUAGGACGAAUAAAACAAUGAAAAAUUAAACUGGGAUGUCAUUUUAUGAGGAAAGGAUAGAAAAUGAACCAGAAAUCAUUUAACUAUGAAACUAAAGAGAUACCCACAAAGUUGCCAGUUCCUUAGGACAAAUGAAAAAUUAAACUGGGAUGUCAUUUUAUGAGGAAAGGAUAGAAAAUGAACCAGAAAUCACCGGUGCAAGAUGAGAAGUUAUACUGGCUUGAAAUUUUAGAAAGAGAGGAACUGAAAUGAAUCAGAAACGUACAUAUAAAAGCAUUUAACCACAAAACUAAAGAGCUUCUCAACAAGUUGAAAGUUCUUUAGGACAAAUGAAAUAAUGAAAAAUUAAACGGGCAUGUCAUUUUAUGAUGAAAGGAUAUAAAAUGAACCAUAAAUCAUUUAACCAAGAAACUAAAAAGCUUCCGACCAGUUGUAAGUUCCUUAGGACAAAUGAAAAAUUAAACUGGGCUGUUAUUUUAUGAGGAAAGGAAAUGAAAUUAACCAGAAAUGUAAAUAUUAAAGGUAUUUGGAUCAUUUAUUCGGAAACCACUCAUCGAGUCUUAUUUUCUUCAGGCACUCGAACCAAUUGAUUGUAUCAAUCUACUAGCACACCAAAAUAAUUGAGAGAUCUCGGAUUCGAACUCUUAGAACAUUAAUAAAGUCUAUUCUCAUUUGUA